rnacentral:misc_RNA from 1 species
AACUUUUAACAAUGGAUCACUUGGCUCUCGCACCGAUGAAGAACGCAGCGAAAUGCGAUACGUAAUGUGAAUUGCAGAAUUCAGUGAAUCAUCGAAUCUUUGAACGCGUAUUGCGCUCUCUGGUAUUCCGGAGAGCAUGCUUGUUUGAGUAUCAGUAAACACCUCAAAUCCCUCGACUUGUUGGAUGAGGUUGGACUUGAGCAAUCCCAACUUUUCGAACGUGAAGGCGGGUUGCUUGACAUGCAGCUGCAGCUAGAUUCUUUCUUCUGAGCUAUAAGCAUACUUAUUUAAUCCCGUCAAACGGAUUAUUACUUUUGCUGCAGCUAACAUAAAGGUUGAAGAGUCGCUAUGGCUGACUGAUGCAGGAUUUAACAUGUCGCGCAAGCGAGCUGUCAACUCGAUCUCAAAUCAAGCAAGACUACCCGCUGAACUUAAGCAUAUCAAUAAGCGGAGGCU